GGGGCACAGAGAAGUAGUAGUACAGAGACAUGGUUGUGUGUAUCUUCAGGCAGCAAGCAAAAACUUGCAGAGAGGUAGCAGACUAGUGCUAGAGUACCAGGGCAUGAGCAGAGGGGAGACGAGAGGGACGAGAGCUGCUGGCUGUUGUGGGUGUGCGUCCUAAGCUCAGGAGAGAUGACACCGACGUCGGACGGGUCGACCGAGAUGUGCAUCUGCUGCGUCGCUCGAUCCGUCUGAAGCCGGUGUCAUUUCCCCUGAACUUAGGACCCAUUAGCCCUGAAUGAUGGACACGAAGACACCUCGGCGAGCCGUCGCCGUUGCUGCUUUGGAUGGUGGUCCUGCUGUUGAGCCGCUUUGGCGAGUGAUGAGCUGGUGAGGUGAGGUGGAGAACUGGCAUGUGAGAUGUGAGACGGGAUGUUGGAUGGCAGUGAAAAGCCAUUCGUGCAAGUUUUUAUUAUUAUUUUGAUCGUAACAUUCGUGCAAGGUUAACCAACCAUGCGUCCAGAACUAGAUGGCUAUUCGGUGGGCUGACCGGCGACAAGCACUUUGCCCACUUCCAGGUUCCAGCAUCCCUCCUGCUUUUGCAUCUCUGAAACCACCUCUCAGAGCCCAAAGCUAUCUGUUUGCCUGCUUCAGAGAACCUGAAACGUCCCGGCAACACCUGCCUGCACUAAUUCGGAGCUUGGACCCCACUGCAAACAUUGUAUUUUUGUUCGAUUCAUCCUUUCUCUCUGCCUGCGCUACCAGUUGGGAUGAUGUGCUCUGAACUCUGAAGUCUGAGCUGGCCUUUAGAUGGGCGACUGGGUGUCCACCUGAUCCUGAUGGACUUCGUUUGCACCGUACAUUAAACCAAGAACAGUAUGAUUCGAACAAAAGUCCAUCAAUCUUGAAAUCAAUCCCAGUUUUACCUUUUCUUUUUCUUUUGUUGCUGGGUUACAACGAAACUAGGCGUAUAGCCCGCAUAUUUGCGUGGUUAGUAUUGAAAAUUCAAAAAUUUGCAUGUCAUUAUAUCCUUACUUAAAGAUUAUACUAUUUUUUUACUAUAUAUCAUCUUGUUCAUUAUCGUAAUUUUUGGCUUAUUGUUAGUUAAAACAUUUCAAAUAUGAUCUACCUAUAAUACCAAUUUGAUUUGUUGAGCUUUAAUAAUAUUAUGCAUAAAAUUAUUGUUAUUUUCAUUUUAUUUUGAUUGAUGGUUGUUAGAUUUAGUUUUCAUUAAUAGAAUAUGUUUGUAACUAACAUAGCUAAAUAAUAUUUUACAUUUAAUUUUUCGUAAUGGCAUUGGUGGGUAAUUUUUAAUUAAGUAUAUGGGUAUUUUAGGCUAAUUUUAUUAUAAUGGUAGUGAUGGGUAAUUUUUAUUUUUUUCUAUUUUUUCCGAUUAACGUGGGAAUUUUUAGUCCUUAAGAGCGAAUGUGGAGACUCUGUUUGUUGGAUAAAUAAUAAGAUAACAGAUAAGCUGCCUGCCAGGCUAGUUAGAUUUCUGACAAUAAAAAUAAGCUGUUUCACUUUCAGAUCGCUCAGUGUCAUGUAUUUUUCUUGGAGCAUUGCAUUGGUCAAAAGAAAAUGCUGUCAAAUCUUUGCGUGCCAAUCAAGCUCAACGGUCAUCAUGAAUGUAAACUUGAAGUUGUUCUAUCUGAAACUAUGUUAUCAGUUCAGAUAAAGAUCAUGAGAACACUCUGAAUAGUGAAUAUGAUGCUCCGUUGUCUGUCAGACUUGGCACUUGGCCUCUUCGGACUUGAGGUAAAGUCUCCGACGAUCUACUUCGAUCCCAUCUUGCAUCAAUCCAUCAGCCGUGUAUUUGCUGACAUUCAACAUUCAUUGGAGUAGAGAAAUCAGGAGCAUUUGACAUCGUUGCCAACAUGCCAACAGUCUAGACAGAUUGGUGUGGUAUGGAAUGCAAUGCCGAGGGGAGAUUAAGAGGACUCACUCCAGCAGUACAAAUAAACCGUUCCAGCCGGCCGCGAAUCCCGUCCGCCCCUUCACCAACUCUGACAUCCGGCGAGCCACCAUGAGCUGCUACGCCCGGCGACCGGCGCCGCCCUCCGUGGCUCGCGGGAACGCCGGAAAGGCGGCUCCUUUGCUGGGCUGCAACAAGGUGCCCGAUAGAGUUGAGCGGAGGAUCUCCGACGUUCUACUUUGUCUUUGCAGGUCACGCGAGCUUGAGGAGCCUGGGAUGCACGGACGGCGGCGGGGCUUGCCGACGGCAAACCUGGCACGGUCGGUUUCCAAUAUUUUACAAAAUAACCCCAAUUCGUAUCGCGAUUACUAAUCACGAUCCAAUAUUUUACAAAUACGCCCCUCCUUUUGGAUGGCCUGCUCAUCUCUUCUCCGUCGUCGGCGUCUUCCACGCGCUCGCGCCCGUCCUCCGCUUGCCGUCCGCCGUCGUCCUCCCAUUCCCAACCUUCUGAACCAUCCAGUCCAUUUAUUUUUGUUAGCGUUGACUCAGAGAAACUGCGAAGGAGUCAUACAAAAAAAAUAGCAAAUAGCCGGAUAAAAUUCUCCAACAAAUCUCAGUGGUACGGUACCCUGGGUGUCCAGAAUUACCAUCAGCGUCAAGAAUUUGAUGGUGGAACUCCGGAGGCUGCCCUACCCUACCAUCAACGGCCAACCACCGAGCAGGCGAAGUUGAAGCAGCGCGUCCAGGCGGCGCAGCGGCAGGAUCAGGCCGCCGGCGGCCCGCCUCUCGACUCGCAGCGCCGCGCGGGACGACCGCACCGCCCCCCACGGGCCACGAUUGUGCACAAAGUGAGCCCAAGGCCCAACCGGCAGCAGCAGAUUCUAAUAAUUGGGGUCCAGCCUACGUGCAGCCACAUUGGGCUUCGUAGUUUGCAAUCGGCCCAAUGCAGUACGCGGAUCACGAUGCAAACCGGCAAACGAAAGAAAAGAACCGUGGACAUUUUCUUGGAUGCAACCAGUUAUCCAAGCGCAGUGCUCGUAUACUUCUUUCAAAAUAAAAGAAAGAAAUUGCCGGACACGACUCAAACUCAAGACAUCUUCUUGUCUGAUAUUGAGUUUUGUGAGUACUCAUGUAUUAACGGUGCCAGUGCUAUACUUUUUUUA